UACAAUGUUUUGACUCUUCGUUUUAUUUAAAAUUUUGUUGCGAUUAAUAUUUUUAUUCUUACUAGAUUAGAUGAUAAAACAUGAAUAGUACUUUAUGUGCGACUAAUUUUUUUAAAGUUUUUUAUAAAUUUUUCAAAUAAGACAAAUGGUUAAACGCUGGACACGGAAAAAC
rnacentral:pre_miRNA from 1 species